rnacentral:rRNA from 1 species
UACGUAGGGGGCUAGCGUUGUCCGGAAUCAUUGGGCGUAAAGCGCGUGUAGGCGGCCCGGUAAGUCCGCUGUGAAAGUCGGGGGCUCAACCCUCGGAUGCCGGUGGAUACUGUCGGGCUUGAGUACGGAAGAGGCGAGUGGAAUUCCUGGUGUAGCGGUGAAAUGCGCAGAUAUCAGGAGGAAUACCGAUGGCGAAGGCAGGUCUCUGGGCUGACACUGACGCUCAUGCACGAAAGCGUGGGGAGCAAACAGG